rnacentral:rRNA from 1 species
AUACGUAGGUGGCAAGCGUUAUCCGGAAUUAUUGGACGUAAAGAGGGAGCAGGCGGCAGCAAGGGUCUGUGGUGAAAGCCUGAAGCUUAACUUCAGUAAGCCAUAGAAACCAGGCAGCUAGAGUGCAGGAGAGGAUCGUGGAAUUCCAUGUGUAGCGGUGAAAUGCGUAGAUAUAUGGAGGAACACCAGUGGCGAAGGCGACGAUCUGGCCUGCAACUGACGCUCAGUCCCGAAAGCGUGGGGAGCAAAUAGGAUUAGAUACCCUAGUAGUCCACGCCGUAAACGAUGAGUACUAAGUGUUGGAUGUCAAAGUUCAGUGCUGCAGUUAACGCAAUAAGUACUCCGCCUGAGUAGUACGUUCGCAAGAAUGAAACUUAAAGGAAUUGACGGGG